GAUGAAGAACGUAGCGAAAUGCGAUAAGUAAUGUGAAUUGCAGAAUUCAGUGAAUCAUCGAAUCUUUGAACGCACAUUGCGCCCCCUGGUAUUCCGGGGGGCAUGCCUGUCCGAGCGUCAUUACAACCCUCAAGCUCAGCUUGGUGUUGGGCCCCGCCGCCCCGGCGGGCCCUAAAGUCGGUGGCGGUGCCGUCCGGCUCCGAGCGUAGUAAUUCUUCUCGCUCUGGAGGUCCGGUCGUGUGCUCGCCAGCAACCCCCAAUUUUUUUCAGGUUGACCUCGGAUCAGGUAGGGAUACCCGCUGAACUUAAGCAUAUCAAUAAUCGGAGGA
rnacentral:misc_RNA from 1 species